rnacentral:rRNA from 1 species
AUACCCGAAUGGGGAAACCCAGUGUGAUUCGUCACACUAUCAUUAACUGAAUCCAUAGGUUAAUGAGGCGAACCGGGGGAACUGAAACAUCUAAGUACCCCGAGGAAAAGAAAUCAACCGAGAUUCCCCCAGUAGCGGCGAGCGAACGGGGAGGAGCCCAGAGCCUGAAUCAGCAUGUGUGUUAGUGGAAGCGUCUGGAAAGGCGCGCGAUACAGGGUGACAGCCCCGUACACAAAAGCGCAUGUGCUGUGAGCUCGAUGAGUAGGGCGGGACACGUGGUAUCCUGUCUGAAUAUGGGGGGACCAUCCUCCAAGGCUAAAUACUCCUGACUGACCGAUAGUGAACCAGUACCGUGAGGGAAAGGCGAAAAGAACCCCGGCGAGGGGAGUGAAAAAGAACCUGAAACCGUGUACGUACAAGCAGUGGGAGCACCCUUUGGGUGUGACUGCGUACCUUUUGUAUAAUGGGUCAGCGACUUAUAUUCUGUAGCAAGGUUAACCGAAUAGGGGAGCCGGAGGGAAACC